AUUGAACGCUGGCGGCAGGCCUAACACAUGCAAGUCGAGCGGAUGAAGGGAGCUUGCUCCUGGAUUCAGCGGCGGACGGGUGAGUAAUGCCUAGGAAUCUGCCUGGUAGUGGGGGAUAACGUCCGGAAACGGGCGCUAAUACCGCAUACGUCCUGAGGGAGAUAGUGGGGGAUCUUCGGACCUCACGCUAUCAGAUGAGCCUAGGUCGGAUUAGCUAGUUUGUGGGGUAAAGGCCUACGAAGGCGAGGAUCCGUAACUGGUCUGAGAGGAUGAUCAGUCAGACUGGAAGUGAGACACGGUCCAGACUCCUACGGGAGGCAGCAGUGGGGAAUAUUGGACAAUGGGCGAAAGCCUGAUCCAGCCAUGCCGCGUGUGGGAAGAAGGUCUUCGGAUUGUAAAGCACUUUAAGUUGGGAGGAAGGGCAGUAAGUUAAUACCGUGCUGUUUUGACGGUACCAACAGAAUAAGCACCGGCUAACUUCGUG
rnacentral:rRNA from 1 species